CCGCGCCCGCCGUCGGGCCUCUGCUGGCCACGCCUGCCUGCCGCUGCUGGGGGGCGGGGCUCGAGCUGAUGUCACGUGGUGUGCGAUCCAUUCCCGGAAGUGCGCCAGAAGCAGAGUGCCGGGCCCCGCACUCAGCGCAGUUCCAGCUUCACCACAGCUACAGCCAGGGCAAUCCCAGCCCCAAGGAACCACACAGCAGAAGGAAACGCAAGAUCCUCACAGAGAGAAUCAAAGUCUUCACAUAACAUCAGCUCCAGCUCCAUCACCACUCCUAUCAAGCACCAUCCCAACACAUGUUAACUACAGACUGCAAGCCCUGAUGAAAAAUGCAUGCAUGUCUACUCCAACCCACAGGCACUCAAGCUUGAAACUUUUAUAUAUAUAUAUCUAUGCAUGAGAACUUCUAAUCUGAAUUACAGUGUUUAUUAUUAUUGUUAAAUUGUAUCCUAAAAGAGGUAUUAAUCAUUGGGUACAACAGUAGUGCCUUGAAAAGGAAAAGCUAGAUGCACUAAAAUCAUUAGUACAAGAACAGCUAGCUCAAGGACACAUAGAGCCAUCUAUGAGCCCUUGGAACCCCCCAGUAUUUGUCAUAAAAAGAGAAAUCUGGUAAAUGAAAGUUUCUCCAACCUAAGAAAGGUCAGUUCUGUGAUGGAGAGCAUAGAUACUUUGCAAGCUGCUAUGCCAUCUUCUGCCAUGAUACCUACCUCCUUGGACCUUCUGGUAGUGGACUUGAAACCCAAAAAAUGAACCCCAGAGGCAAAAGCUGCUCUUGAAACAGUAGAGCAAGCUAUCACAAACAGACAAGUCCACCACAUAUGCCCAGAGUGAUACAAACUAUAUUUGUUCUCGUUAUAAAUCUUCACCCUACUGGUAUUAUAGGGCAGUGGAACACUCACUGGCCUGAUCCUCUGCACAUCCUAGAGUGGAUGUUUUUACCUCAUUGCUACAAGUGUAGACGGCAAGGCCAUGUGAAAAUAAACUGUCCACACAAGUCCAUUCCACAAGACAUCUUAAGGACCUGAUCUACAUCCUGCCUGGGACCACAAACAACACUCUCCUGAUGGCCCCCCAAUGGUUGUGAUUAAGCAGAAUGAAGAAAAGUAACCAGAACAACCUAUUCACCUACCUCAUGAAAAUUUGAGACUCUUGCAAAGACAGUUCAUUUAAAAACUCUGUUUGUUUACAAAUUGUUUUUCUGUUAAGUUUGUUUUUUCUCACAGUUCUAAAGGUUGAAUGUUUUUUUGUUUCUUGUUUAUAAAGUAUAAUCUCAGUUCUAAAUAUGGGGGUUUUUUUUUAGUUCAAAAUAAUGUUUUUUAGUGUUAAGUUGUAACUACAAGUUGUUAGUUUACCUGUGGCAUGUUAGCUUGAAGGAUUGUAAUCUUGCCUGCCAGCUCCCGAAAGUGAGUGCUGCAAACUCAGUUUAGUGUGCAAAGCACGUUGCUAGCUGAGGAUAACUCAGUUUGUCAAAUUAAGUGGAAAACUUUAUUUCAAUUAGACCCAUGCUGUCUCCUGUCACCCUGUCUGCAAAGGGCCCUUACAGAUAGGAUAACAGAGAGCAUUUUAUAUUUUUUGAUUUAACCAAAAAGGGUGAAUUGUCACAGUAUUGUCACAGUACAGCAGGACUGGACAAAGUAAAUUUGACCAUAACAGGAACCCAAUUCAGCCAGCCCCAUUCAAGAUGAGAAGUAAGCACACCACUGGCCAGGAAGCUGGGCAGAGAGAGGGAUCUCAGCCAAUAGCUGUAUAGCCUGGGAGAUUUGAAUUGGGUAUUUAAGUGAGUUCUGAAUAAUAAAUGAGGCUGUUUGUCUCAUGAGCACCUGGAGCACAGGUUGUGAAUUUAUGUGUCCCCAUCCACAACCAGCAUGCUACACAAACCUACAUUGCUUCCUUCCAGGAAGCAUUGUUAAAUUCCCAUUCCCUAGAGUAGGCACAUGCAUCAGAUGUACCCACGCCAGUGCAUGGAGGUGUCUGCAGUUCUCUUCUGGGAAACUGUUCCUCUUCUGCCUGCUGAGAACAGAACCAUGCCAGGACUGUCAAGAAGGACAGAAAUCACUGUCUGGCUCUUCUCUGUCUGUAGGUCACUGGGAAUCUGCACAGAUUGAGCACAAGGGCAGGAUCAGGGGAGACAUCAUGGAACUUCUCACCUCCAGUGUGGAGUAACUAUUACUUCCAGCAUGACAACAAUGCCCUGCAGACCUGAAGAGGCUUUCCCUGCACUGGCUGGACCCAGUAAGAACUGAAGACCCAUCUCUCCUGAAAUCAUUGAGCAAGAAGAUGGAAACACAAUGUGUCCAAACCACAGAACAGCAAUAAACACUUACCAAGGGCAUAAACCAAGGAGCAAAGGAAGAUUUUGCAUUUUUGCCUCAGAGGUCCGCAUUAAAUCUUUUUGAAAGAUAAGAGAUUUUCUUUAAUAUCAACCAGUGUGCUGCAGAGAGAACUAUUUUCUCAUGGGACGUACAGAGUGCAUUGCAGUAUGGAAAGGAGUGAUGUGAAGAAGGAAGCCGAAAUGGAGAGAUGAUUGAAGCACUGCUGGGCAUUUGGUAUCUGAGGAGGAUCUGAAAACCCACAGCCAUGGUUUACCACCAUUUCUACCUUCAAGGACUUGAGAAUUUAUUGGAAGACCAAGAAAGAAUUUAUUUUCAGAUACUUGAAUCUACAGCCAGUAAAAAUAUAAAGGUAUUGCUGUGCGGCACCAUCACGUUCAACACUUUCAACAGACUCUCCUGAGUCUUCCUUCUCAGAGGUCUUCCCACCUCUGGAGGGAAAAUAAAAGGUUUCUGAGCCAUCAUCUCAAAAAGAUUAAAACAAAAAAACCAAAACAAAAAAACCCCAAACAAACAAACAAACAAACAAACAAAAGAACUAACCCCCAAUUGCAUUUAAAUGAGAUUACACUCUGCCUGCAAAUAAAGUGAAAGUCUACCGAACAUGCUGAGUCACACCUCGCAAGCACUUGUUCUACGUUUCUGGGGAAAAAAAAAGGCAUGAGCUUAAAAAAGAAUCCAAACUAACCUACACAUACCUGUAGCACUGUAAGUGUGCGAGACAGUAGAAGCAGGAUGCAGGAGCUCAGCGUGUAUGGUUACGGCUGAAUGGGAUCACCAAACAAAGCGCUAACUCACAAAACGAAAAGGGUGAGCACAAGGAUCAGGUUCCUUUAAAAGAGGGUUACAUAAGCCACUGCCUGCCUUUAUCUUUGUGCCUCUCGGAGUCAUGAAGGCUACUCUUUUUAAAGCCGUUCUUUUCACUGCUAGCGUAGAUGGGGUGUGCUGCAACGAGGAGCAGCCGUAGCUGAGUACCAAGCCUUCUCAACUUACAUGAAAUGGUAUUCGCCCCUGGAGGGCUUUUUCUUUCCGUUUCGAAAACAUGUUGAUUUAGCUGAAACAUCCAUCUUGGAGAAAAAGCUCUUUUUUCUUUUUUUCUGGUUUUGGUUUUGGGUUUUUUUUUUGGUGGUUUUGUUGUUGGUUUUGGGGGUUUUUUUUGGGUUGUUUUAUAUUUUUAAAGGGUAGUUGUUUUUAAAGUUUGGAGUUGCACAACUUUUAAACACUACAUUGGCAUAAUUAGUUCCUUAGAUUAUUCAUCCAUCGAUAAAAGACAUAUUUAAAGUCAUCAGCAGGGUGAGGUAGUGAAACAGAGACAUCAUUUCAAAGCUCUAUACUAGACAAAGCUUAUACACUACAGGAAAAAUAUUUUCAGAUUAAAAUAAAUAGCAUGUAAGAAAGUAAUAGCUUUUUAGAUUGCUGUACCUCCAUGCUAUACAAUGAGUGUUUAAAAUAUAGACAUUUUUAUCCUAUCAUAGGAUAUUUUACACAUUUUUUUUUUCUUUUUUUAUUUUUAGUCUCUGGCUGACCCUUGUAUCCUUCCCAUUCUCCUGAUUUUCUUUUUAUGGAAUAAUUAGGAUUACUUUUUAAAGAUUACUACUUUAGCUAAAUAUAUUAGCAAUAUAAAUAUAUAACUAAAUAGAUUAGCAAUCCAAAAUUCCCUGUUUCCUCAGAGGUGCAUCUAUAAAGUAGACUAAAUGCACGUUAGUCUGCCACACUUUUGUCUUACAGUUUAAAAUUCAUAUAUAAGCUGUUUGCUCAUAUUCUAAAUAACAUGGUUAGUGCUCUUUGUUUGCAAUCUCUAAAAUAAAAUUAAAUUAAUGAAAAAAACUAUCCAAGAAUUCCCGAGCAAAGUCAUAAGGCUCAAAACCUAACCCUUUUGGUUUAGGUUUUUGGCUUGUGAAAAACAGAGUUCACUCUUUAGAAUUUUUAAAAGUCUAAUAAAGGAUAAAAGAAGGACAAGCAAUCCAGCACUGGGGUGUUUUUGGCAAACGGCCAAAGAGCAUGAAGGAAGCUUAAAAUCAUGUUUGCUAUAUACAGUUACUUUGCUGCAGUUACAUGCAUAUUCAUUAGCUUAUAAAUUAUUCAAACAUUCCUUUGAGUUUUUGAUGUUUUAGGAACUCUCUGGUUUUAACCUCUGACUUGUCUGCCGGACAUUCUGUAAAUUAGGUCCUUAUAUUUUAUUUCUUCCUGUAGUUUUAUUCUGUUGGUUCACACUCUCUGAUGGUGCUGAUAAGAGUCGAUAAAUCUUUUUCAGAUGCUUGUGUUGUUUCCUGUCACCGUUAUCACUUGGGGAGGCCAGUCUCCAGAUACAAGAAACAGGAUAAUUGCUUUACACCAUUCUCUAAGUUAGUUAGUCUCUAUUUUAACAUUUUGCUAAGGCCUACAAUAUAAUAUACUCAUUAAACUACUAUUCAUAUAAACUAUACAGUGCAUACAUAAACUGAAAGAUUAUACAAAGCAGUUAAAAGUAAAUAUAAGUUGUACUGUAUCAAAAUACUUCUGAUACAAAAAGCUAAUCCAUGAAUGCAAAAGCCAGUAUUAUUUUAUCAUCUGUAACAGGCUCUUCCCAAUUGUGUGCUACAAAUUAUAGCACACAAGGACAUUAGGUACUCGGUAUCAGCUUUAGAGAACAGCAGUCAAAUAAAAGAGAACAAUUGUGCAUUUUCAUCAUUCCUAGAAAACAAAAAUGACAACAAUGCUUGCAGAACCUUCUCUCCACUAGAGCUGUUUAACCACAUUUUCACUUUCUUAGUCAUGGAGUCCCUGGAAAUAAUUCUUUAUAUGUAAGACUAUUCCACUUUACCUUAAUAUUAACAUUAAACUUUGGAAACUAAA